UAAACAUUAUGUCAUUUUAGGACACAGAUAGACACUCUCAAGGACUGCCUGAACUCUGAGAAGCAAGGCCACCUGGAGUUGAUGACCAGAUGACUUUUAAUGCAAAAUGUCGUAUAAAAUGUUGGUUGGCCAGCUGAUCGUGCAGUGCAG